UACGUAGGGGGCAAGCGUUAUCCGGAAUUACUGGGUGUAAAGGGAGCGUAGACGGUAAUGUAAGUCUGGAGUGAAAGGCGGGGGCCCAACCCCCGGACUGCUCUGGAAACUAUGUUACCAGAGUGCAGGAGAGGUAAGCGGAAUUCCUAGUGUAGCGGUGAAAUGCGUAGAUAUUAGGAGGAACACCAGUGGCGAAGGCGGCUUACUGGACUGUAACUGACGUUGAGGCUCGAAAGCGUGGGGAGCAAACAGG
rnacentral:rRNA from 1 species